UUCCGCGUGACUGACGGAUCUGUGGAGCACCACAUUGGAGCGCGGGGCGAAAAAUGCCGGCCGUCUGGGCAGCCUU
rnacentral:ncRNA from 1 species